GACGAACGCUGGCGGCGUGCCUAAUACAUGCAAGUAGAACGCACAGUUUAUACCGUAGCUUGCUACACCAUAGACUGUGAGUUGCGAACGGGUGAGUAACGCGUAGGUAACCUGCCUGGUAGCGGGGGAUAACUAUUGGAAACGAUAGCUAAUACCGCAUAAUAUUAAUUAUUGCAUGAUAAUUGAUUGAAAGGUGCAAAUGCAUCACUACCAGAUGGACCUGCGUUGUAUUAGCUAGUAGGUGAGGUAACGGCUCACCUAGGCGACGAUACAUAGCCGACCUGAGAGGGUGAUCGGCCACACUGGGACUGAGACACGGCCCAGACUCCUACGGGAGGCAGCAGUAGGGAAUCUUCGGCAAUGGACGAAAGUCUGACCGAGCAACGCCGCGUGAGUGAAGAAGGUUUUCGGAUCGUAAAGCUCUGUUGUAAGAGAAGAACGGGUGUGAGAGUGGAAAGUUCACACUGUGACGGUAUCUUACCAGAAAGGGACGGCUAACUACGUGCCAGCACCCGCGGUAAUACGUAUGUCCCGAGCGUUGUCCAGAUUUAUUGGGUGUAAAGCGAGCGCAGGCGGUUAUAAAUGUCUGAUUUUAAAGGCUGU
rnacentral:rRNA from 1 species